rnacentral:rRNA from 1 species
UACGAGGGGGGCAAGCGUUGUUCGGAAUUAUUGGGCGUAAAGGGCGCGUAGGCGGUGCGGUAAGUCACCUGGGAAAACUCUGGGCUCAACUCAGAGCCUGCAGGCGAAACUGCCGUGCUGGAGUGUGGGAGAGGUGCGUGGAAUUCCCGGUGUAGCGGUGAAAUGCGUAGAUAUCGUUUGGAACGCCAAAGGUGAAAACAGACAGCUGGGAGUGUGCUGACGCUGAGACACGAAAGCCAGGGGAGCGAACGGG